UACGUAGGGUGCAAGCGUUAAUCGGAACUACUGGGCGUAAAGCGUGCGCAGGCGGUUUUGUAAGUCUGACGUGAAAUCCCCGGGCUCAACCUGGGAAUUGCGUUGGAGACUGCAAGGCUAGAAUCUGGCAGAGGGGGGUAGAAUUCCACGUGUAGCAGUGAAAUGCGUAGAGAUGUGGAGGAACACCGAUGGCGAAGGCAGCCCCCUGGGUCAAGAUUGACGCUCAUGCACGAAAGCGUGGGGAGCAAACAGG
rnacentral:rRNA from 1 species